CUAUGGGUAGAAAAAGGUUGAAGGUUCUUUUUAUGUAUUAAUGAAUUUUUUGAGAAAUUAUUGGUUUUUGAGAUAUAAUCAAAAUUUGGACCCGGCAGGUGUAUUAAAGAUUGUUGCUGAACAAAAGCUGCUGUAACUUUUUUGCUUUUAUAGUUAUGAAGGUGGUUUUAAUAGCUAUGGGUAGAAAAAGGUUGAAGGUUCUUUUUAUGUAUUAAUGAAUUUUUUGAGAAAUUAUUGGUUUUUGAGAUAUAAUCAAAAUUUGGACCCGGCAGGUGUAUUAAAGAUUGUUGCUGAACAAAAGCUGCUGUAACUUUUUUGCUUUUAUAGUUAUGAAG